AUGUCCGAUAAAGUUCCCCCUUCCUUCGAUCGCGCGAAUGCUGGAUCUCAAGGGUUCAACCCAGGCUUAAUUGUUCUACUUGUUGUUGGUGGGUUGCUAUUGACAUUCCUCAUUGGAAACUUUGUGCUCUACUCUUAUGCACAGAAGACUAUUCCUCCUAGGAAAAAGAAGCCGAUCUCAAAAAAGAAGAUGAAAAAGGAGAGAUUGAAGCAAGGUGUGUCUGCACCUGGAGAGUAG
rnacentral:lncRNA from 1 species